rfam:Cystobacter fuscus DSM 2262 contig7, whole genome shotgun sequence.
GGGCGGAUAGCUCAGCGGUAGAGCGUCGCCCUUACAAGGCGAGGGUCACAGGUUCAAUCCCUGUUCCGCCCA